rnacentral:lncRNA from 1 species
GGAACCUUCACCUAAAACAUCAGUAAAUAGGCAUUGAGACUCACCUGAUCACGAGACCACCUAGCAAUGUGCAGCCCCAAACAAGCAGGACCCUUCCUGCUCUGUGGCUCGCACAGUCCCAGGAAGCAGAUUAUCUUCCACUUUGUGAACUCUUUAAAGCCACCCAGGGAGACGUGCUCGGCAGAGAGGGCUGCAGCCGACCACGUGGAAACGCAUUCAGAGCCCAGAUUUGUGGGGCUGGCUUGCAGCACAGCGGUCUCAGCAGUGACAGGUGACCUCACGCCCUGCCCAGAGUGCUGUCUCUCUGGGCACGCUAGGAGUGACCAGGCUUUUCCAAGUUUUCCCCCUAAAAUGGCACCGAUGUGAUUUUGUGUUGGCCAAGCAAAAUAAGAGGGAGCAUCUGUUUUCCUGCAGGUUCAGCCAUUAAUUCAAAACUUUGUGAGUUUGUUAAGUCAACAAAUACUGACUGUGGGUGUGGGUGCCGCAGUGCGUGCCACGGCCCUCCAGGGGCAUGGGCUCCGGAGCAGAGACCCUGGCUCCAGGUUGGCUCUCUCGCCACCCCUGGGCCCUGGGAAGCGCUUCUGGCUCUCUCAGCACCUGCCCCUCCGGCUGUCGGUGGGGAUACUAAUGGGGACCACACUGUGGGCCUCUUCCUGCCCUGUCGGGUAGAGAACGCAGGGCCCAGGUGGCCCUCGGUCCUGGGCCUUCCCUGGACGUCUUCAACCACCAGCGGCUACCCUCGUUGCUCCGGGCCGGGCUUUGAUAAGGAGCCCACGUGGUCACUAGGAGUUGCCAAGGCCUUUUCUUUCUCUGCUGUAUGAUACUUUGAUUUUAUCAUGUUCAUUCUGGCUGAACCAAGCCUAAGUCCACGGCAGACCAGUCUCGACUCCAGGCACUCAAGUGGCUGUCUUGGCCUCGUCUUCAAAGCAAAUAUGCCUUUGUCGUAUGGUCCCAUAUGAACAAUGUAGAAACGUUCACCUCUUUAAAACUUACCUGCUUCCAGUUCCCUUCGAACACAAGCACAUGGUCUCUGCGGGUGAUCCCAGUGCGAAUUACGCCCUGGAGAGCAGGUCUGAUGAAGGGAGAGUCGAGGGGGAGACUUUGAAGCCAUGUCUGCCCGGUGGGUGUGGCUCACCUCCACGCACCCUCCUCCUGAGUCCCUCAGUGAAGGCAGAAGCUGCCGGGCCGGCAGGUGCCCGAGGCCAGCCUCUAGCCGCAGACGGAGGCUGCUGAGGUGGGGUGAGGAAAGCCAGCCCUGGUUCUCCCUUCCUGGCAGGACUGGGUUUGCUUCUGGCCGGUCGUGUCUGAAAACCCGAGGCUGCCUUCAGAUCUCUGCCUCGAGUGUGGGUGGCCCGCCUCCUGCAGUCCCCUGGGGCACGGCUUGGGACGGCCAUUUCUAGUGGUAGGGUCAGUGAGGCGGACCUCGGUCCUGGGCCUUCCUGGAUGGCCCCCAGUCUUGCUGUCUCUCCUUCCUGAUGAGGCCGCACAUCUCCACACGCUGGGUAGUGCUGUGGAAGGGCGGCCAGUCCACAGGGGCCAGGCCUCGAGCCACAGCCUCCUCUGAGCCUCGUGAGCACACCAGCCACCCCUAUCCAGGUGGAUCCCUUGGCACCCCGCGGCAGCCGGCCACAGCCAGGGGCCUCGCGCUCUGGAAGCAGUCGACUCCGCGUGGGCUCUUCACCUUCAGAAAUGGGGACGAGGUGCUAGUUGCUUUGAGCCGUGGAGUUCUGAGCCAUGAGUGACAGUGCUCAUAACAUGGUCUCCGAACGCCUGGGAGACCCGUGGGCUGGACUUCUCAAGUGCCGCUAGCCCCCUCUCUCCUUCCUCUGUACUUUCCUAUCUUCCAGGUGCUGAGAAGCAAGUCCACACAGAUGGGAGGAGAGCCGGUGGUGACCAGUGCGGGAGGUCGGGCGGAGGACACCCGGGCCCCGUCAGCGAGUGUCCUCAGGGUGCAGGGUCAGUGAGGAGCGGAGAGAUGGGUCCUGAGUCUGCCUCCCCUUCUCUCGCCACCGAGGGAAGCUGCUAGCCUUCAUGCCAAAGGGCAGAGCCCACCACAUUUUUACUGGGGGUGCCAGGGACAGAACCCAGGGGCGCUCACCACUGAGCUGCCUCUCCAGCCCCUUUUAUCUUUUGUUCAGGGACUGGGUCUCGCUAAGUCACUUGCCUUCAACUUGCAAUCCUCCUGCCUCAGCCUCCUGAGUUGUUGGGAUCACAGGCGCAGGCAGGGUGCUGUACGUAGGGAGACUCACUUCCUUGCAAUGUGUUGUACCCCAAAUUAUCUUGUUUAUGAAUAAGUAGGAAGAUAAAUGGAAAAAAUAAAUAGGAAAAAUAAAUUGGAAAAAAUGUAUUAUCUGCCACCUAUCACAAAUGUCUAAAUGAAAACAAAGACAUAAAGCAUUUUUAGAGUUGAAAUAUUUAAGGUGCAGGUGGAAAGUAUGGUUUAGCUCUUCUUCAAAAUGUAGAACGUUAUUUGCAGAAAAUAUUUCUUAUUAUUAAUAAGCCAGAGUGUCCUGAGGUGCAGCAGCUGGGUGGCUGCCGCAGUCUGGCUGGGCACAAAAUCACGAGCCACCACACAGCUUGUAGAUUCAAACAGCAACUCUUUAUUCCCGAACUCACACCAGCCGUCUACAAUCACGUUCUGGGGAAAUCCACG